GAUAGAGCCUUCCGCGGACCCUGGGAGGGGACUAUCGAGGGGCUGGACCCCCAUAGUCCUCGUUAGCUGUUGCCAUGUGUUGUGGAGAUCCUGCAGCUUUGGCUCUGCAGGACAGGUCCCUUUACAUGCUCCAGCAGAUCACAGGUGGGUUGGAUGUUGGUUUGGGCCAGCACAUAACCCUGGUUCUGAGCCUGGGUAGUUGCAGGGUUGGUCAGACCACCAACUCUUUCUUGUCCUCACCACCAGGGUGAGCUUUCCUGCAGUGCCCUGGCAAUGGUUCACCCCUUUCAUUAAUGAGCAAUGGGCUGUGGUAGUUCUCCUGCUUUCACGUCCUUGGGGUUGGAUCUCCCACGCUUACACCUUCAGUGACUACUGUGCUGCACAGGUCUGGCAUAGGGGCCACUCUCCGGAGUGCUGCAGCUGAUGAGGGGAAGUGACAUCACUCCUGCUCUUAUGACCUCAGGGCCAGCUCUGCCUUCUACCUCAGAUGUUAAUGGGGCAGGUGGGGAUAGGGCAUCUCUCCCCCAUCCAUGCUGCCACAUGACAGGGAAACCCAAGGAUGAUUUCUUCUGUUGAGUGUCUCCGAUCCAGACACCCUUCCCUCUUUCUGCCCAGGUUUGUCUUCACUCAACCUGUGGAAGCCUCCAGCCACUUCAGUGACACUGUGGUUGCUUUGUGAUCCCUCGCUGACAGAUCAAAACUCGCACACUUGAUGACUUAUCUCUGUAAAGCUGUGCUGAAUUGUUUUAGCAUGGUUCUGUCUUAGAGUCUAGUGUCUUUAUCUUCCGGAUAAAGAAAUGACAGCCACAAACAAUUGUACCAGGAUCCCUCCCUCCAAACAACCUGAGUCAGACAAACCACUCUCUUUCCAUCUGGAUCAUAAGUAAUAGCAAAAGAAAAGUUAAAACUGUCAAUGGAAGGGAAGUAUGACAUAAACUGUGACCACGUUACAGUCUAAUUUCACAUGUUCAUAAGAUGUGGACUUGUUGGUAAGCUUGGCACUUGUGUGCUGUAAAUAGCUGAGCUCUGGGUUCUCUGUAGCCAUGCUAGACAACGUGACAACUACCAGCCACACAGGACUGUAAAGCACUGGACAAGAAGAGGGUGCCCCAUUUUGAAGGAAUAGUUGCUUGGCUUUAGUUAUUUAAAGAAAACAUUUAAAAAGUAUUUCCCCCAUCUACUUACAUAUUACUACAGAAAUCUUUCUACAGCAAGGAUGAUGUUUCUCCUGGUCUGAGCUAUGAGCAUCAGCAUGAGGAAAAGAGACUCCCUCUCUCCCUUAGUCCACCCUGCUCUUCGCCACAGCCACGGUGCUCAAGCUAACACAACUGAGAUGUAACUGGCAGAGGCCCAUCCAUCAGCAGUGCCUUUGCAGAUUGGGAUUUUCCUGGAUCUGCUAGAACUUGGCAGUUAUAGUCAGCCCCUGGGGAGCGGCAUUUACUCUGGAUGGAAGGAAACAAUGUGCAUCUUUUGCUAAACUAACUUCUCUCCAGUCAACACCAGCAACCGUAGGGUGAUGAAUGCUAAAUUCUUUACAUUUUCCCCGUGAAAACAAGUGCCUGGCAAGACUGAGUCUAUGAUAGAAGGUCAAGGUCUGUUAUCAAAGUUGAUAUUACUUGCUGUCUGUGCGUUACCAUUGGUUCCUCUCUGACUAAAGGUUUGCUGGGAAGCCUUUGAAGUGCAGUGGAUAGAUACAAUGGGAAUGGAUUCUGACUUUUUUUUUUUUACCUGCUAACUUAGCAUUGAAAUGUUCACAAUGUCAAGUGGGAAAUUAAUAAUUACACCACUUUUUUUUUUUUUACUGUCAAAUGUCUGUCAAAGAGAACAAAACCCUGUCAAGUGGAAGAAAAGUACAGGGAUGGGAAGCAUGUGUGACACCAUCUCCUGUCCCCUUGUGAAACGGCAAAUUAAAGACAGGUUCAAUAUGUUCCCUCCGAAGCUAAUAGACACAUAGUACUAGUAUAAUGGGACAAAUUGAACUAAUGUGGUAUUCUGCCUGCCUCAAACUAGGCAUCAGGAAAUAAAUCCCAUCAUAUUAAGUUGUAAUAUGAGCUGUCUGAGCUGGGGACAGCUCAGCAGGGGAGGGGCCAUGCCACUGAACCUGACAACGUGACUUCAAUCCCUACAGCCCGUAUGGCACGAAGAGAGAACCAACUCCAGUAAGCUGACCAGAGCUCGCCACACGUGUGCUGUGCUCUACGAAACCCUCUCUUCAAAUUAAUGUCAACUUAAGUCAAAUAAGGAUAAAAAAAAAUAAUAUCUCAGUCGGGCAAGAAUCAAACUUCAGUAAUAAUGUAGACUCAUCUUUAUCCGUCGAACUUCCACUUCCAUAUUAAUGAAAAUAAGUCAAAUCAAAUGUCUACUAGUGCCAUUAAUAAUAGAACUCCGAAUAGAGAUUCUGUCAGAUUACCCAUCUGAUUACUGUGGCCACCUAUGGUCUGGUUACAAGAUGGACCAAGCCAGUUGUCAAUUUAAUAUGAUUAACUGUGAAAGAAA